UAGUAAUCGCGGAUCAGCAUGCCGCGGUGAAUACGUUCCCUGGCCUUGUACACACCGCCCGUCACACCAUGGGAGCCGGUAAUACCCGAAGUCAGUAGCCUAACCGCAAGGGGGGCGCUGCCGAAGGUAGGAUUGGCGACUGGGGUGAAGUCGUAACAAGGUACC
rnacentral:rRNA from 1 species